AAUUAAUUCCAAUCACACCCAAGAACCCUUAAACAAUAUUGAGUAAUUCUAUACUACUAUAGAAGAUUUUAUGUUAAAACUAGUAACAAGAAGAAGAACUUCUCAUAAAAUGCAAGUAUAUAUCAGACAGGACACCCCACUGAUAAUUAACACCAAUGAAGAAAAAGUAGUAACUUAUCAAGAAAAUUCUACUAAACCCAUAUGUUAACCUAACACCAGAGCAUUUCAAAAAAGAUUAAAAGAAAGAGAAGGAACUCGGCAAAUAUUAACCUCGCCUGUUUACCAAAAACAUCGCCUCUUGAAUAAAUAUAAGAGGUCCAGCCUGCCCAGUGACUCUGUUCAACGGCCGCGGUAUCCUAACCGUGCGAAGGUAGCGUAAUCACUUGUUCUUUAAAUAAGGACUAGUAUGAAUGGCAUCACGAAGGUUAUACUGUCUCCUCUUUUUAAUCAGUGAAACUAAUCUCCCCGUGAAGAAGCGGGGAUAAAAAUAUAAGACGAGAAGACCCUAUGGAGCUUUAAACCACGUAGAACUUGCACCUAUCAAACAUAAAUUUCAGAAAACAUAUUUUACCCAUGCAAGAUUACUACCAGUUUUAGGUUGGGGUGACCGCGGAGCAAAAAGAAACCUCCACAUUGAAAGGAACCCACUCCUUAGCCAAGAGUCACACCUCUAUGCAUCAUAACAAUGACAUUAAUUGACCCAAUAUUUUGAUCAACGAACCAAGUUACCCUAGGGAUAACAGCGCAAUCCACUUUAAGAGCUCCUAUCGACAAGUGGGUUUACGACCUCGAUGUUGGAUCAGGGUAUCCCGGUGGUGCAGCCGCUACCAAAGGUUCGUUUGUU
rnacentral:rRNA from 1 species